CUAUUGUUAGCUGUUGUACUUUUUUAUGUGAAAUUUGAUUGUUGAUUUUUGUAACUUUUAUUUGAAAUUGCAUGCUAAUGUGUUUUGAUUGAUUAGUGAAAUUGGUAGUUUAGAAUAUCUAGUAUUGGUUGAAUUAGUUUAUUUUAUUGACCGCAAUUGUUGCCCUGUUUAAUCCUUAAUUUUUUUUAAUAUCGUUGUGAUGUAUCUACAAUUGCAAUUUAAAUCCUUGGCUCCUUGAAAUUUAAGCAUGGAGCAUAAUGAAUCUCCUGCAUUAGCAUGCAAUCACUAGUUUAUGUAUCAAAUUCUUUAGAGAUACAACACACCAUACUGAAAGUGACUUAGCAAAGUAGCCUCACAAAAAUAUUUGCUUUCUGUUAGGUAACACACUACUAGUAGUUUUUUCAUGCUUUCUCUUGGAUUUUCAGAAUCAUUGUCUAAAACAUACCCGUGUAGUGUAUCCUCAUAUCUAUGGAAUUAAUGGUGUAUAUCAUAUAAAGUGAUUGCUGAGUGUAUUAGUAGAGUACAUUCUCGUUUUGCUUUUUUUUUUUUUCUUCUCAUUUCUUGUUAUUAAAUUAGGAAGGGUUGUGUGUGUAUUCUUUUUCGGAUGAAACACACAUGUGUGCUUCUAAUGAAAGCAAUUAUGUUUGAGGCGGACAGAGAAACAAUGAUAAGAAAUUACGACCUAUUUUUGAAAAACUAACAUGCUAACAUUUGUUUAUACAAGAAAAAAAUCAACUAGAAAAAUGUGCAGGCUAGAGAUAAAGUUUUUGGAAGGAUUUUAUGACUAGAAGAUUUUAACUCAAAUAUUACCACUUUCUUGUUAUCCUCAGCUCCCUUUUUUCCAUGUGUUUUCGUUUUUGAAAAAAAGGAGACACAACAUUCAAUAUGUUUUAUUAGUAACGUAAGUUUGUCUCCUAACAGUUAUUUCAAUUCACAUUUUUGUUAGUUCAGUUUGUUGUUACAUAUUUCAUCGGGAACAAACACAUGAGGCAGAAAAAAAAUUGAAGCCUGAUGUUGGUCAACGAGAGUAUUCUUCAUCCACUAAAGUUUUAAUUCACUUGUUCACCUACUCAAUUCAGCUUAAUGUUUGAAGUUACUUCCAAUGUUCUCUAAGAAGUGCUGUCAUCUGGGAAUGAUGGCAUAUAUUGGAAUUUCUUGUUUUUUUCUUUGGUCCAUUGGUGAAGUGACAACGUCAUCUUCUAUGAAUUGAAGAGCUUUCAUAUUUAUAUACAAAUCAAUGAGGUUGACUAUUGCA